AGCAGAUCUGGAAGAGAAGCCAGCACUGUCUUCUGCAGCUUGUUUGCCGCCUUGAGAUCCUGCAGGACUGGGCUUGGGGGAUGGCAAAGGACGGAGGGGCUCAAGGAGAGAUCCAGUUCCCUGGUACCAAUCUCUCUCUGCCUGCCCUGCCGGGCUUGGAAUACCUUGACCCAGGAGGCUCUGGGUUGUGGGUACCGGUCCUGGGAGUUGAGAUGGAUUGGACCUCGGGAAGGCUGGUGCCACUGGCAGGGACCAUGGAAGAUGUUGACGGCAAAGGACUCGUUCCAAUGCGAAUCGGUGCCCGGACUGUGGACCCGGUGACAGGCAUCACAGGGUCGGUGGUGGGGGCCCGCUUAGACCCGCUGAGGAAGAUCGUGGUUCCUGUAAUUGUGCCCAACGGCCUGACUGAAGGAGAGGCUACAGACACAGGACUGCUGGAUAUUCUGCAGAGGGAAUGCUCUUUGAGGGGCAGGUUCUGGAGACAGCAGAGGAGGAAGGAAGAAGAGUUACUGAGAAACCUAGACAGAGUGCUACGUCACUGCUUCCAGAGCACCGUCCACGGCACUGGUCAGAGUGCUGCCCUCAGCAUCACUCGCAGUACCACCCAGAGCGGCACCACCCAGACCUCUACUGCGCAUGUGCAGGGCACACCUGUGCAGAGAUCCACUGUUCAGAUGCACUGGCAGGACAGGGAGGAGCAGCUGAGGACUGGUGCAGCAGUGCUAGCCCAGGAGGCCCAAGCCGAGGCCCAGAGGAGAACAAGGGCACGAUCGCACCUUUCUCUCCUGCUGCCGCACCACGUGCUCCUUAUCCUGACAGGAGGGGAUGAGGAGCAGUACGAGCAGCAGGGCUGGUGGCAGGCGGAGCUGACAGCUGGACUGGACAGGGUGAGCGUGGGUGUGAACAGACUGCAGCAGGAGCAGGACAGACGGAUGGCGAUGCCGCACCAGGGCUGUACUUUGAAGCUCAGGGAGUUGUGGGAGCAGCUGAUCUCCAGGCAGGCAGAGCUGGAGACUGCUCUUACCAGGCAGCACUGUGUCCGUGAGCACUGCCAACUCCGCAUGGACACAGCACAGGCUUUUUUGCUUGGCACCUUUUGGUACAAAGACUUUAGACUGACCCAAAUUAUUGGCCACACAAAGCUCAGGCGAGGGGAGGCUGUGAUCCUUCCUUUGCUGCAGAAGCUCCUUUACCUGCUGGAGGAACAGAAACAGGGGAGCCACGGGAGGCCAGGAGCUUUUACCGGAGAUCUGAUGGAGGCAACCAAGACUCAAGAGCCUGAGCAAGGAUCUUCCGCCACACUAGACCCCUGGACAAACCCACCCUCUGUCCUCCGAGGGAAAGGUGGGGUGGACAUGCUACUGGCAAAGUGCAGGUUGCUAUGGUACUUAGCUCUUGGUAUGAUGCAGAAAUUCUUGACAGUCAAAAGGUGUAGUGGUUAA
rnacentral:lncRNA from 1 species